UACGGUUACUGUCUAAGCUUUAAAUGACGUAGUGUGUCGGUUAGGUCCCCCUGAACCACACACACAUACACACACACGCAUACACACAUACACACACGCAUACACACACGCAUACACACACAUGCCCCCGUUUGAAAAGAGCUGAAUAAAUGAGUCACUACCACAACUCCCACAUCAAUAACAGUUGGACCAAGAUGGCGGCCGAGGGAGAGUACGAGUCGAUCCUGUGCGUUAAACCCGAUGUCAACGUUUACCGUAUCCCGCCGCGAGCUUCAAACCGAGCGUACAGGGCAGCUGAUUGGAAGCUCGAUGCCCCAGACUGGUCAGGUCGAAUGAGGAUCACAGCCAAGGGCAAAGUGGCCUACGUUAAACUGGAGGACAAAAUCUCAGGGGAGCUGUUUGCCCAGGCACCAGUGAAGGAGUAUCCUGGUAUUGCAGUGGAAACCGUCAGCGACUCCAGCCGCUACUUUGUUCUGCGGAUACAGGAUGACAACGGUCGCAGUGCUUUCAUAGGAGUUGGUUUUGGUGACCGAGGGGAUGCUUUUGACUUCAACGUGGCUUUGCAGGAUCAUUUCAAAUGGGUGAAACAAGAGACCGAACUCAGUAAAAAUGCCCAGCUCGGGGAUUCAGGACCAAAGCUGGACUUGGGCUUUAAGGAAGGGCAGACCAUCACACUCAACAUAGGGCAAGGGAAAAAGAGGGAUAAGCCCCGCCCACAAGGAUCGGGUGGAUUUGGACUUCUCCCACCACCACCUGGAGGCAAGAUAGCUCCUCCUCCUUCAUCAGGGUUAUCGAAUCACAACAUAGUCCCACAGACGGGAAGCACAGCGACAGGCUGCCUGCUGGAGCUGGACAGUAGUAACUCCAACACAGUGGUUCAGUCAAACACUAGUUCAGAUCUUCUUUGGGGAGAAUUUUCUGCUCCUGCAAGAUACUUGCCAACUAAACUUGCCAUGUAAAUGGGUUUACUGUGUGUGCGUAAAAGCAGCUAUAGUUGACACUUAAAAUUGUUUACACUCUGUUCCACCUCCGUCUCGACCACAAAACACCGCAAACUGGAUCCAGUUUUGAGUCGUCGAUCGUCGACUGUGACCUGCAUCUCACCUACAUCUGUGUCCGUAGCUUCCUGUGCGUCACACUGAGUUUAACUCCCACACACUGAACCCAAAGCAGAGACAUGACACACCCACAGAGCUGUAGAAUCACUUCACUCAGAGAGAGUGAAGCAUUAAUGCGUUAAAGCCAUCACUCUAUACGAGCCAUCUCAAUGAUAUUUAAGGGCUAUGCGUGACAUCCCGAGUAGCAGGUGUUCCUCUUUCAUGUGUCUGCAUCUCCUCCCCAGUAGGUGGCUCUCCGAGCAGAGCUUCAUUUUGAUCUGGAAUGUUUUUUGACCCUGAAACGCCCCCUGCAGGCACUGCAGAGCACUACAUCAACACACCUUUGCUUGCUGCAUCCUGCUGUGAAUCACACGUAAAGAGCAACACAGAGCAAAGAUUAAGUGAAGGCUGCAGGAGACAAAUUAAAAAAGGAAAAUCGGAUGAUUUCUGUACUGGAACAUAAAUCUUAAUUCUGUAAAUUAUCCACUUUUGCAGCAGUGAUCUGAGUGGCUGUAAUGUUGAUCCUAAAAACAAAGGAACAGUUGAUGACGCAUCAUGAUGAUCAAGGUCAGAAGGAGUUUAUUUUCCUGCUAAUAAGAUGAUAAAUUUACUCUGAAGUGGAGUUUAAGUUACUCUCUCAUUUUCACAUUGUGAAAUGUGGAGCAUUAGAGCUUUGUCAUCAGGGUGGAUGCAGUUACAUGGGUCAAAAUCCUCAUGUGUAUGUCAGCAUUCACUUUUAACAACUUCAGCUCAUAUUUGGUUUGAUUAGAAAUUGAUAAUACAGGUGAAUUUGUACAUGACUCUCCAGACGUGAGGCACAAGUUAAAUUGCUAAUAUCCAAAUUUCCUGAAUAAAUCUUCACAGGAAUCAAUAAUUUUCUAAAUUAUUCACGUGUUUGCAGAAUCGCUGAAUCUGAAAUAGUUGGAUGAGAUGCUGAUGUUAAAAUAUGUGAGUGAUGAGUAAAUUAACGGUUUUCUUUCUGGUGUAUUAAAUGUAAAAACGUAUGUUUACAUUAUAAAAUCACAUUUGUUUACUUCUGGGCGCUUCUUAUUAGCUAAUAUAUUUUGCUGCAAGUCAGAAAAUCAGCUGCCAAAUCCAGACUCUCACUAUUUUUACAUAUUUUGCUGCAUGUUUAAAGAACUACAUAAGCUAAGAAGGAUUAAAUAUUUGCAUGUCCUACUCAGUUCCUAUCAAAUUGGAGGCAGAAAAAUUAAACUGCUCAAAUAUGAUGAACGCUAUUUUUCACCCCAAUUAAUUUUCCUGACCUCGAAUUAACCGACCCAUAAUCUAGUCUGGUUAAAAUGAAUUGGAGCAGAAAUGUAGGACUUAUUAUCAGACAUUUAUAUUUUUUUGUAUUUAUUUUAGAGGGAAACACUGCUGUGAGAGAGGUCAGCCCAAAGCUUAGCUUCACUUUCUAUAUUAAACAUACAGUAAUAAUUUCUAUCAACAGGAUUUAAAGGUUUAGAGGAAAAUGUUUGGUGCACAGACACAUUAUUAAUGGAAAAACAAACUGACAGUUUCUUUGUGCAGUGGAAGAAGUCUGAGUGCUCCAGAUUUUCACUUGCAAUCAGUUUUCACAACCUGCUGGUUUCUGUUAAUGAAACAACCAUAAAGAGUUUUCCACAUGUGCUGCAGUUCACCUGCAAAGACGGCCCUGUGGUGAACUCGUCAUUAUGGAAAUGAGAAUAAAUCUGGCAGAUUUGAAGAAUCUCCAGAUGCAGCACGAGUCCCAAACAGUGGUAACUGGACGAGGUUUGAUGGUCUGAGGAUAAUGUCUGGAAAUUAGAGAAACCGUUUGAUAAUCUGGGAAAUCUACUGUUUGACUUCUUUGCUGAGAGUUAGAUGAGAAGAUUGAUUCUCAUGAAUUUGAAGCAGGUGGUUAGCUUAGCUUAACGACGAAAUAAAUCUGAGACACCUGGCUGUGACAGAAUCCACCUGUAAUACCUCUAAAGGAGACUGAUGAACACACUAUAUUGUGUUAAAUAUUAUUGAGUUUUCUUAAAUGAAGUGGCGAUCCUUUUGUGGCCUAUUUAAAAUGAAUGCUCCUUUUAUUGAAAUGAUCUGUUUGCUGUAAGAGAUUCGAACACAUCAGUCUCAGGAUUUAUGGCGGGGAAAAACAAAAUGAUUGUGUUAAAUCAUCUGAUGAAUGUUUAAUGGCAGCAAAUGAAAUGUUAAUCUUUGUGCUAAGAAGGCUUUGGCUGAUUGUGAACAUGUCUGACAUAAAACAUGCCUUGACUGUGAAAAUGUCUGCAUAGUAUCGCUGUGAUCAGAUCACAUGAGCUGUGUUAAGUUAGCAUUAA